rnacentral:rRNA from 1 species
UACGUAGGGGGCAAGCGUUGUCCGGAAUCAUUGGGCGUAAAGAGCUCGUAGGCGGCCUGUCGCGUCCGCUGUGAAAUCCCGGGGCUUAACCCCGGGCGUGCAGUCGAUACGGGCAGACUAGAGUGCUGUAGGGGAGACUGGGAAUUCCUGGUGUAGCGGUGAAAUGCGCAGAGUAUCAGGAGGAACACCGGUGGCGAAGGCGGGUCUCUGGGCAGUAACUGACGCUGAGGAGCGAAAGCGUGGGAGCAAACAGG